rnacentral:RNase_P_RNA from 1 species
AGAUGAGGGAAGUUUAUCAGCCAGGGCCACACGCUGAGUGCUUGUCACUCCCUGGCCCUUGGGAAGGUCUGAGACUGGGCCCUCCCCCAGCCAGCGAGUGGGAAGGUUCAUUCCCAGAGUGGGCAGAAUGGGCAGGAGAGUCCCUGAGUGGGUGGAUGCCUCCUUCACAGGAGCUUGGAACAAACUCAGGGCAAGGGUGGGCAGUAUUAGCCUGUAGAGAGGCAACAUGGCUCUUACAGAGGAUGGGAGUGCAAGUUCCUUAUGGGGGGGAGUAGGGGGGGAGCUAGGGGUGGUGGGGAGUUUACUGCCUACACACUCUGAAUCUAAAUCCCCCUCCCUUCCUUCCUAAGCCAAGUUCAUAGUUAGCUUCCCAUCU